rnacentral:rRNA from 1 species
AGAGUUUGAUCAUGGCUCAGGACGAACGCUGGCGGCGUGCUUAACACAUGCAAGUCGAGCGGAAAGGCCCUUCGGGGUACUCGAGCGGCGAACGGGUGAGUAACACGUGAGUAAUCUGCCCUUGACUCUGGGAUAGCUCCAGGAAACCGGGAUUAAUACCGGAUAUGACUGCCUUAGACAUCUUUGGUGGUGGAAAGUUUUUCGGUCAGGGAUGAGCUCGCGGCCUAUCAGCUUGUUGGUGGGGUAAUGGCCUACCAAGGCGACGACGGGUAGCCGGCCUGAGAGGGCGACCGGCCACACUGGGACUGAGGCACGGCCCAGACUCCUACGGGAGGCAGCAGUGGGGAAUAUUGCGCAAUGGGGGAAACCCUGACGCAGCGACGCCGCGUGCGGGAUGAAGGCCUUCGGGUUGUAAACCGCUUUCAGCAGGGACGAAGCGAGAGUGACGGUACCUGCAGAAGAAGCGCCGGCUAACUACGUGCCAGCAGCCGCGGUAACACGUAGGGCGCGAGCGUUGUCCGGAAUUAUUGGGCGUAAAGAGCUCGUAGGCGGCCUGUUGCGUCCGCUGUGAAAGCCCGGGGCUUAACCCCGGGUCGGCAGUGGAUACGGGCAGGCUAGAGGUAGGCAGGGGAGAAUGGAAUUCCCGGUGUAGCGGUGAAAUGCGCAGAUAUCGGGAGGAACACCGGUGGCGAAGGCGGUUCUCUGGGCCUUACCUGACGCUGAGGAGCGAAAGCGUGGGGAGCGAACAGGAUUAGAUACCCCCGUAGUCC